GAUUAAGUUGUAAAGCCUAAAGUAAUAAGAACAAAGAAAUUCCUUGAGAAGAGAGAACUGAAAUUCAGUGAAAAUAUUAAAAAUGCCAUGUUGAUUAAAGAGGAGAAUGCAACUGCAACAGUGACACAAGUACUUAGAGAUGUGUAUGCUUUGAAAAAUCUAUGUGGCUUUUUGUACAAAAAGAAAAAUAUUAUAAGACUGUUCUAGAAUCAGAUAUCACUGGAAUUCUUCAAAGAAGUCAGAUUGUUCCUUAUUCACAUACGGCUCCCAUAAUAAGAAAUGAACAAAUAAUCUAAUAAGAGAUCACAUGUAUGGCUAUCUUUUGCUAGAUAUGAUAGAAUUAGGCUUUGAGAAAUUUGUCUCAUUAAUAGACAUUAAGAACAGUAAAUGCCCUGAGAAAACAAAACCCAUGAUAAUAUUUGCUGGUGAGGAUUUUGUUGUAAAAGAAGACUAUAAGGCUAAAGAGUCUUCUUACUGAUUUCUUCAGCAGCCCAGGAGUAUCAAAUAGCCUCCCAACUGGAUCAGAGUAUGUUUUACACUUCACCACUCAGUAAGGGAAGAUUUAUUUUCGAAGCUAUGAGUUACUGCUGAAGAAAUCUGUUGCAGAAUACCACAGAUUGAAGUGGAGAUAUGGAAACCUCAUUGGAUCGGGUUCCGAGGAGGACACACCUGGCAUCAGAUGAACUUUAUAAAUUAUCUAUGCAAAUGCCAACAACUUUCAAGCCAAAGAGGAAGAAAAUUAUCUCCCAUGAUACUUUUGGUAUAAUUUGUGGAAGGAUUCACAUGCAGAAGUAAGGCCUAAGCAAACUACAGACUGGGGAAAUGAGGGGUUUGAUGUGAACUGAAGAAAAUAGAAGACCAUGAGAAAAAAAACAAAGAGAAUUUUUAAAAAUAAU
rnacentral:lncRNA from 1 species